rnacentral:rRNA from 1 species
GACGAACGCUGGCGGCGUGCUUAACACAUGCAAGUCGAACGAAGUGGCGAACGGGUGAGUAAUACGUGGGUAACCUGCCCUCCUUUUUGGGAUAAGCCUUGGAAACGGGGUCUAAUACCGAAUAAGGGGGGAUGGGCUCGGGGCCUAUCAGCUUGUUGGUGGGGUGGUGGCCUACCAAGGCGGUGACGGCUGGCCGGCCUGGGAGGGGGACUGGCCACGUGGGGACUGAGAUAGGGCCCAGACUCCUACCGGGGGCAGCAGUGGGGGAUAUUGCAGAAAGGGCGGAAGACUGAGGCAGCGACGGCGCGUGGGGGAUGAAGGCUUGCGGGUUGGAAACCUCGUUGGCUAUCGAACCGGUAGGUGGAGAAGAAGCGCCGGCUAACUACGUGCCAGCAGCCGCGGUAAUAC